UCAUGGCGGCCGCUGCUGCCGCAGCCGCCGCAGCCGCCGCCGACGACGAGGAGGACGAGGAGGAGGAGGACGAGGAGCCGUCGCAGGAGUGGAACUCGUCUGUACCAAUCAGAAACAAGAGUUCAACGUUUGUGUGGAUGUAUGGUGUGCUUGCUGUGAUGGUCUCACCAGUCUUGCUCUUCUUGCUCAGCUCCUCCUCUCCUCCUGGGACACCCGGUAUUCCAAGGAAGGUGUUCUGGGAGUUUCCGUACCACACCAGAAGCUCCUGGUCUGGGGGAAUGGUCUGGAAGGAGAGAGUGAGAGAGCAUGAUUCCCAGGACGAUCACGACGUGGAUGGACUGCUGUAGCUCUAAACUCUUGUAGUCACUAACGUAACGUUUGAUCCAGUGCAACAAGGUGUAAUGAAGGUAACAGUGAUUGUGGCCGUGGCCGCGGUGCGGUGCAGGAGGACUGACCUCCACAGCCUUGUAGAAGAUGCUGCUGCCGAUCUGCACCACCUCGAGGUUCUGCUCCUGCUCGUUGCGGGCGCACUUGAUGUAGGUCAUCCAGCUCCUCUGGUCCUCCUGGCUGGCGUCGAUGAAGUAGCGCACGCUGCCGUCCGCGUUGAACACCUGCUGACAGACAGACUCGUCAGUCCACAUGUUCCGGAGAGAUGAGGCGGCCUGUGAACGGACCCAUCUCGGUCCCAGCCUUGAUCCAGGUCUUGGAGAAGAUCCCCAGGCCUUCGCCUAAACACCAAGCACACCCUCCAUGAUCACGGAAACCAAACAAGGGCCACAACAGAACAGAACUGUCCCAUACGAAAACCAGCUCCCCGUGAAAAGUUAAAGCUUAAUUACCUGGAACUGAACUCUGGGCGAUUAUCACUUCAGUUGGAAGAACAAGGCUGGACAACUUCUGCACUUCUGAAAGAAGACCAGCAGAGGGUUACCAAAAUGAUCACAUCUAUGAGGAUGACAUUGUAACAAGCAGAAUUAACUAACCUUUUAUUUGUAGGCAUAUUUUAAAAGGACUCAGACACCUACUAUUACUUUACAUUCCG